rnacentral:tRNA from 1 species
AGAGAGGUGGCCGAGCGGUCGAAGGCGCAUGCCUGGAAAGCAUGUAUACGUGCAAACGUAUCGAGGGUUCGAAUCCCUUCCUCUCUG